rnacentral:snoRNA from 1 species
AUAUAAUUUUAAAGAGGGCUUGUGGGACCAUGAGGCACAAUUUCUUAAUGCUAUUACCAAAGAUUGCAUUUCUCCAAAGGAUUCCAUAACCAUUCAAUCAAUAGUGCUAUGUUUUCCUUAGGAUAAAAGAGU